UUAAGCGACUAAGCGUACACGGUGGAUGCCCUGGCAGUCAGAGGCGAUGAAGGACGUGCUAAUCUGCGAAAAGCGUCGGUAAGGUGAUAUGAACCGUUAUAACCGGCGAUGUCCGAAUGGGGAAACCCAGUGCAAUUCGUUGCACUAUCGUUAACUGAAUACAUAGGUUAACGAGGCGAACCGGGGGAACUGAAACAUCUAAGUACCCCGAGGAAAAGAAAUCAACCGAGAUUCCCCCAGUAGCGGCGAGCGAACGGGGAGCAGCCCAGAGUCUGAAUCAGCUUGUGUGUUAGUGGAACGGUCUGGAAAGUCCGACGGUACAGGGUGAUAGUCCCGUACACCAAAAUGCACAGGCUGUGAACUCGAAGAGUAGGGCGGGACACGUGGUAUCCUGUCUGAAUAUGGGGGGACCAUCCUCCAAGGCUAAAUACUCCUGACUGACCGAUAGUGAACCAGUACCGUGAGGGAAAGGCGAAAAGAACCCCGGCGAGGGGAGUGAAAAAGAACCUGAAACCGUGUACGUACAAGCAGUGGGAGCACCUUCGGGUGUGACUGCGUACCUUUUGUAUAAUGGGUCAGCGACUUAUAUUCUGUAGCAAGGUUAACCGUAUAGGGGAGCCGCAGGGAAACCGAGUCUUAACUGGGCGUUAAGUUGCAGGGUAUAGACCCGAAACCCGGUGAUCUAGCCAUGGGCAGGUUGAAGGUUGGGUAACACUAACUGGAGGACCGAACCGACUAAUGUUGAAAAAUUAGCGGAUGACUUGUGGCUGGGGGUGAAAGGCCAAUCAAACCGGGAGAUAGCUGGUUCUCCCCGAAAGCUAUUUAGGUAGCGCCUCGUGAACUCAUCUUCGGGGUAGAGCACUGUUUCGGCUAGGGGGUCAUCCCGACUUACCAACCCGAUGCAAACUACGAAUACCGAAGAAUGUUAUCACGGGAGACACACGGCGGGUGCUAACGUCCGUCGUGAAGAGGGAAACAACCCAGACCGCCAGCUAAGGUCCCAAAGUCAUGGUUAAGUGGGAAACGAUGUGGGAAGGCACAGACAGCCAGGAUGUUGGCUUAGAAGCAGCCAUCAUUUAAAGAAAGCGUAAUAGCUCACUGGUCGAGUCGGCCUGCGCGGAAGAUGUAACGGGGCUAAACCAUGCACCGAAGCUGCGGCAGCGACACUAUGUGUUGUUGGGUAGGGGAGCGUUCUGUAAGCCUGCGAAGGUGUGCUGUGAGGCAUGCUGGAGGUAUCAGAAGUGCGAAUGCUGACAUAAGUAACGAUAAAGCGGGUGAAAAGCCCGCUCGCCGGAAGACCAAGGGUUCCUGUCCAACGUUAAUCGGGGCAGGGUGAGUCGACCCCUAAGGCGAGGCCGAAAGGCGUAGUCGAUGGGAAACAGGUUAAUAUUCCUGUACUUGGUGUUACUGCGAAGGGGGACGGAGAAGGCUAUGUUAGCCGGGCGACGGUUGUCCCGGUUUAAGCAUGUAGGCUGGUUAUCCAGGCAAAUCCGGAUAAUCAAGGCUGAGGUGUGAUGACGAGGCACUACGGUGCUGAAGUAACAAAUGCCCUGCUUCCAGGAAAAGCCUCUAAGCAUCAGGUAACAUCAAAUCGUACCCCAAACCGACACAGGUGGUCAGGUAGAGAAUACCAAGGCGCUUGAGAGAACUCGGGUGAAGGAACUAGGCAAAAUGGUGCCGUAACUUCGGGAGAAGGCACGCUGGUGUGUAGGUGAAGCCCCUGCGGGUGGAGCUGAGACCAGUCGAAGAUACCAGCUGGCUGCAACUGUUUAUUAAAAACACAGCACUGUGCAAACACGAAAGUGGACGUAUACGGUGUGACGCCUGCCCGGUGCCGGAAGGUUAAUUGAUGGGGUUAUCCGUAAGGAGAAGCUCUUGAUCGAAGCCCCGGUAAACGGCGGCCGUAACUAUAACGGUCCUAAGGUAGCGAAAUUCCUUGUCGGGUAAGUUCCGACCUGCACGAAUGGCGUAAUGAUGGCCAGGCUGUCUCCACCCGAGACUCAGUGAAAUUGAACUCGCUGUGAAGAUGCAGUGUACCCGCGGCAAGACGGAAAGACCCCGUGAACCUUUACUAUAGCUUGACACUGAACAUUGAGCCUUGAUGUGUAGGAUAGGUGGGAGGCUUUGAAGCGUGGACGCCAGUCUGCGUGGAGCCAACCUUGAAAUACCACCCUUUAAUGUUUGAUGUUCUAACGUUGGCCCCUGACCGGGGUUGCGGACAGUGUCUGGUGGGUAGUUUGACUGGGGCGGUCUCCUCCCAAAGCGUAACGGAGGAGCACGAAGGUUAGCUAAUCCUGGUCGGACAUCAGGAGGUUAGUGCAAUGGCAUAAGCUAGCUUGACUGCGAGCGUGACGGCGCGAGCAGGUGCGAAAGCAGGUCAUAGUGAUCCGGUGGUUCUGAAUGGAAGGGCCAUCGCUCAACGGAUAAAAGGUACUCCGGGGAUAACAGGCUGAUACCGCCCAAGAGUUCAUAUCGACGGCGGUGUUUGGCACCUCGAUGUCGGCUCAUCACAUCCUGGGGCUGAAGUAGGUCCCAAGGGUAUGGCUGUUCGCCAUUUAAAGUGGUACGCGAGCUGGGUUUAGAACGUCGUGAGACAGUUCGGUCCCUAUCUGCCGUGGGCGCUGGAGAAUUGAGGGGGGCUGCUCCUAGUACGAGAGGACCGGAGUGGACGCAUCACUGGUGUUCGGGUUGUCAUGCCAAUGGCACUGCCCGGUAGCUAAAUGCGGAAGAGAUAAGUGCUGAAAGCAUCUAAGCACGAAACUUGCCCCGAGAUGAGUUCUCCCUGAGACUUUAAGUCUCCUGAAGGAACGUUGAAGACGACGACGUUGAUAGGCCGGGUGUGUAAGCGCAGCGAUGCGUUGAGCUAACCGGUACUAAUGAACCGUGAGGCUUAACCU
rnacentral:rRNA from 1 species